rnacentral:rRNA from 2 species
CCUGACUGCUAUCGGAUUGAUACUAAGCCAUGCGAGUCAUUGUAGCAAUACAAGGCAUACGGCUCAGUAACGCGUAGUCAACCUAACCUAUGGACGGGAAUAACCUCGGGAAACUGAGAAUAAUGCCCGAUAGAACACUAUACCUGGAAUGGUUUGUGUUCCAAAUGAUUUAUCGCCAUAGGAUGGGACUGCGGCCUAUCAGUUUGUUGGUGAGGUAAUGGCCCACCAAGACUAUUACAGGUACGGGCUCUGAGAGGAGUAGCCCGGAGAUGGGUACUGAGACACGGACCCAGGCCCUAUGGGGCGCAGCAGGCGAGAAAACUUUGCAAUGUGCGAAAGCACGACAAGGUUAAUCCGAGUGAUUUGUGCUAAACGAAUCUUUUGUUAGUCCUAGAAACACUAACGAAUAAGGGGUGGGCAAGUUCUGGUGUCAGCCGCCGCGGUAAAACCAGCACCUCAAGUGGUCAGGAUGAUUAUUGGGCCUAAAGCAUCCGUAGCCGGCUCUGUAAGUUUUCGGUUAAAUCUGUACGCUUAACGUACAGGCUGCCGGGAAUACUGCAAAGCUAGGGAGUGGGAGAGGUAGACGGUACUCGGUAGGAAGUGGUAAAAUGCUUUGAUCUAUCGAUGACCACCUGUGGCGAAGGCGGUCUACCAGAACACGUCCGACGGUGAGGGAUGAAAGCUGGGGGAGCAAACCGGAUUAGAUACCCGGGUAGUCCCAGCUGUAAACUAUGCAAACUCAGUGAUGCAUUGGCUUGUGGCCAAUGCAGUGCUGCAGGGAAGCCGUUAAGUUUGCCGCCUGGGAAGUACGUACGCAAGUAUGAAACUUAAAGGAAUUGGCGGGGGAGCACCACAAGGGGUGAAGCCUGCGGUUC